UAAGUGUGAAAGUGAGGACCCUAGCUAUCAGCAUAUAGAUAGUUAUAAAACAAGAUAUGGGUCGAAAAUAUUUGACGUAAGUUGGAUUUAGCACAAUAGAAACAAGUGUCACAAUGGAAAAAUUAAUGGUAGACUAUAUCCUUUUAUUCUUACAGAAUUCUAAGACUGAUUUAAUAACCUCUUCACCUACUAUCCCCCUAAAAGCUUUUGAAGCUCUACUCAAAAACCACCAAAACCAUGUGUUAGUCCAAAGGCAAUUCUUUGAGUGUUGAUAACACCUUCUCCAUAAGAAACUUCCUCACUAGUUGUCCUUGAUGCUUCCAUGUAAGGCAUAGACCAUCCCUUGCAAUUAUGAUAUCAAAACUAGGCAUUUCAGAUGUACUUGUUCCCAGUAAGUUCUUGAAGAACUACAUAAAUUCAUAUUGUACGUAGAUAGGAUUAGUAAGCAUGCCUCCAACUUCAUUGAUGAUACUUGUCACCCUAUUUCCAGCCUAUCUUGCCUUCAUGAAAGCAUGGAAAAAUUUUAUAUUAUAAUCAGCGCGAGAAAUUUAGGUGACCCUGGAUCUAUGUCUGAAAAACCUUUCCUGAGC
rnacentral:lncRNA from 1 species